rnacentral:rRNA from 1 species
AUUGAACGCUGGCGGCAUGCUUUACACAUGCAAGUCGAACGGCAGCGCGGGCUUCGGCCUGGCGGCGAGUGGCGAACGGGUGAGUAAUGCAUCGGAACGUGCCCAGUAGUGGGGGAUAGCCCGGCGAAAGCCGGAUUAAUACCGCAUACGACCUGAGGGUGAAAGCGGGGGACCGAAAGGCCUCGCGCUAUUGGAGCGGCCGAUGUCGGAUUAGCUAGUUGGUGGGGUAAAGGCUUACCAAGGCGACGAUCCGUAGCUGGUCUGAGAGGACGACCAGCCACACUGGGACUGAGACACGGCCCAGACUCCUACGGGAGGCAGCAGUGGGGAAUUUUGGAAAAUGGGGGCAACCCUGAUCCAGCCAUGCCGCGUGCGGGAAGAAGGCCUUCGGGUUGUAAACCGCUUUUGUUCGGGAAGAAAUCCUCUGGGCUAAUACCCCGGGGGGAUGACGGUACCGGAAGAAUAAGCACCGGCGAACUACGU